rnacentral:rRNA from 1 species
GACGAACGCUGGCGGCGUGCUUAACACAUGCAAGUCGAACGGUGAAGGGACCGGUUUUUGCUGGUUCUGGAUGAGUGGCGAACGGGUGAGUAACACGUGAGUAACCUUCCCCCUUCUUCUGGAUAACCGCAUGAAAGUGUGGCUAAUACGGGAUAUUCUGCGCCUGCUGCAUGGUGGGUGUGGUCAAGAUAUUGUUUCGGUGGGGGAUGGGCUCGCGGCCUAUCAGCUUGUUGGUGGGGUGAUGGCCUAGCGAGGCGGUGGCGGGUAGCCGGCCUGAGAGGGUGGACGGUCACACUGGGACGGAGACACGGAGCAGACUCCGACGGGAGGCAGCAGUGGAGAAUAUUGCACAAUGGGCGCAAGGCUGAUGCAGCGACGCCGGGGGAGGGAUGGAGGCCUGCGGGUUGUAAACCUCUUUCGCCAGUGAAGCAGGCCUGUCCCUUUUGUGGGUGGGUUGACGGUAGCUGGAGAAGAAGCGCCGGCUAACUACGUG